rnacentral:rRNA from 1 species
UUGACUCUGGCCUGAA